rnacentral:rRNA from 1 species
AACGGCUAUACCAUGCUGAAUAUACCGGUUCUCGUUAGAUCACUGAAGUCAAGCAUCAUUGAGCGCAGUCAGUACUUGGGUGGGUGACCACCUGGGAACACCGCGCGCUGUU